rnacentral:lncRNA from 1 species
GUGGAGGCAGAUGAGGCGGAGGCGUGGCUGUCAUCACUGGCCUUCCUCCCACAGCCCACAGAUGCUAUGGUUCACAUGCUGCUGCCACUGCUCCAGACCCCGCGGGCCAGCCCUGGCGCCUUCCUGGGCAUCUCAGCCCUGGUGCACAACCUCUGUGCCUCUGUGGAUGUGCCCUGCGGACAGCUGCCUGGAGUCAGCUCUCUAGUGAGGAUCCUGGGAGAUGCCUUGGGUGAGGACUGUACCAUCCAGGAGCCCUCGGAUCAUGACAAGCUCCAGCUUGUGCUGAAGGCGAUCGGCAACGCGGGCUUGGCAGCCAUGGCUCUCACCCCCACACUGAGUGCCUGUGCAUCUCUGAGAAGCAGCGGCCCCGAGAUCCGGCUGGGGGCCAUCCAGGCCUUCCGGAGGGUCCUCUGCUCUGCAGAUCGAUCGGUGCUCUCCCGUCUGUACCAGUCCCCGGAGGAGGAUGCUGAGAUCCGUAUCAAUGCCUACCUGGCCCUGAUGAGAUGCCCUAGUGAGGAGGUGUUUGCCCAGGUGCGGCGCACCCAGG